CCUACGGGGGGCAGCAGUGGGGGAUAUUGCACAAUGGGGGGAACCCUGAUGCAGCGACGCCGCGUGGGUGAAGGAGUGCUUCGGCAUGUAAAGCCCUAUCGGCAGGGAAGAAGCAAGACGGUACCUGACUAAGAAGCCCCGGCUAACUACGUGCCAGCAGCCGCGGUAAUACGUAGGGGGCGAGCGUUAUCCGGAUUUACUGGGUGUAAAGGGAGCGUAGACGGCAUAGCAAGUCUGAAGUGAAAGCCCGUGGCUCAACCGCGGAACUGCUUUGGAAACUGUUAAGCUGGAGUACU
rnacentral:rRNA from 1 species